GUGCCAGCAGCCGCGGUAAGACGUAGGAAGCAAGCGUUGUCCGGAAUUACUGGGCGUAAAGAGCUCGUAGGCGGGAUCGUAAGUCUUAGAGUAAAUCUCACGGCUCAACCGUGGGGCCUUCUGAGAUACUGCGAUUCUUGAGGAUGUCAGAGGAAAGUGGAAUUCCCGGUGUAGCGGUGAGAUGCGUAGAUAUCGGGAGGAACACCAGUGGCGAAGGCGACAUUCUGGGACAUUCCUGUCGCUGAGGAGCGAAAGCKYGGGGAGCAAACGGGAUUAGAUACCCCGGUAGUCCACGCGGUAAACGAUGGAUAUUAGGUGUGGGAGGUAUCGACUCCUUCCGUGCCGUCGCUAACGCAUUAAAUAUCCCGCCUGGGGAGUACGGUCGCAAGGCUGAAACUCAAAGAAAUUGACGGGA
rnacentral:rRNA from 1 species